CGCAACUCAAAACUAACUUGCUAAAAAAUAAACAAACAAAAUAAAUUAGGGGAGUUGAAAAUGUUUAGAGAUUAAAUAAGUGAGAUAGUAAAAAUAAACAAUUAUGUUAAUAAAAAAUAAAAUAAAAUAAGAGAGUGAUUUGAAUUUUGUAAACAGAGAUAUAAAGCAUUAGCCUUAGACUCAGCGAAUUCUGGUUUUCGAAUCGAUCCUCGAAAAUAGAUUUUC
rnacentral:lncRNA from 1 species